CCCUUAGAUGUUCUGGGCCGCACGCGCGCUACAAUGGUCUUCGCAAACGGAUGCAUUCUCGAAGGAGAAUGCCAAUCUUGGAAUCUAUGCCUUGGUCGGGACAGUUGCUUGCAAUUUUUCGACUCGAACCAGGAAUUCCUUGUAAUCGUGAUUCAUCACAUCACGAUGAAUACGUCCCUGCCCUUUGUACACACCGCCCGUCGCUGCCCGGAACUGAGCCGUUUCGAGAAGACUGAGGAUUGCUGACUUGAGGCCUUCACGGGCUUCUAGUCGGUGAAAAUCAAUUUAAUCGCAGCGGCUUGAACCGGGCAAAAGUCGUAACA
rnacentral:rRNA from 1 species